rfam:Nicotiana sylvestris Nsyl_contig97580, whole genome shotgun sequence.
UCACUUAACUGGACGGGGUCAAUGGGCGAUCAAGAAGGCCUAUGGCCUAGGUUGGUGACCUCCAUUGCACUUUGGAUGGACGCCUGCCUAAGGUAGGCCCAAGUGGUCGAGCCUACGUCAUAUUUUGUGGCAAUGGGGCCUGCGUUCGCGCGGCUAAA